UGGAUAACCUACCUAUAAGACUGGGAUAACUUCGGGAAACCGGAGCUAAUACCGGAUAAUAUUUUGAACCGCAUGGUUCAAAAGUGAAAGACGGUCUUGCUGUCACUUAUAGAUGGAUCUGCGCUGCAUUAGCUAGUUGAUAAGGUAACGGCUUACCAAGGCAACGAUGCAUAGCCGACCUGAGAGGGUGAUCGGCCACACUGGAACUGAGACACGGUCCAG
rnacentral:rRNA from 1 species